AGAAAGAAAAUUUAAUCCACGAGGGAAUUGAAAAACAUCAUAAAAUAAAAAUAAUAACCAGUCAUAGGAAAAAAAAAUUGAUCGAGAAAUUGAGUCUUCUCAAUAAAUUUUGUCAAUCCUUAAUGCUUCAAUACUUUGGUGGGUUCUCCCUCUUUUUCUCCAUAUUGUUUGUAGUUUAAGUCUUUCUCCCUUUUACAUCCCAUAAAAUUUUGCUCACUCUUAAAAUUCCAUCAAGUACUCACGCCGUUCCAAUGAACAAAUCUUUCGUUAGAGUAGAAAAAUGUCUUAUUUACAUAUAUUGAGCAAUCCUUUCUCUACCUACAUUGAGUAAGAAACACUCAAAAUGUUAAUUUGAAUUAACAUUAUCUAUAUAUGAUAAAUUAAAUACAUAAAUUAAAGACUAAAACUAACCUACAAAAUAAACUAAAAUCUUAAAAUGCUACUAGAAUCAAAGAUAAAUAACUUUAAAAUAAAUAUGAGAGUAGACCUAACCAUGAGCUGAGCUAUCCACCUAGGCCCAAAGACUUGCUCAAAAAGUGAGAGGGUUUGUACAAAGAUAUAAGUUGAAAAAAUGGGUUUGCACAAAAACUAAGACUUGUUUUCUAAAUGGGUCAGGUUGUUUUGCUACUGUGUUACUAUUGUUUCGUUGUUGUUUUGCUAUCAUAUUACUACUAUUUUGUUAUUAUUGUUUGGAUAUCAUAUAGCUCUUGCUUAUUGUUAAUUUUACUACUAUUUUAGAUGUAUUUACUUGCUAAAUUGCAACUAUCUUAGUGUUAUUUAAGUGUGAAGACUUUUUUAAUGUAUUUCCAAUUUGUUGGAAAACAUUUAUUUUAAUAUUUUUAAUGUAUUUGAUAUAUUAAAUUUUUUAAAUUUGUUUUUAUAUAAAAAAAUAAUCUAAAAAAUUAAUAGAGACAAACUGAGUCGAGCUCGAGUUUAUCAUUUUUAAUCUAAGUCUAAUUUAAGCAGAAAUUUAGACCCAUUUUUCAGGUUGAAUAGAACCCAAACCUAAAAGAUAAGUCUAAAAUUUUGCAUUAUUCCGAUUGGAUCCAAUCCUUAAACACCAGAAUUUCACAUUACUUUCAAAAUUAUUAUAUUCCUCCAACAAAACAUACCCUAAAAAGAAAAUGAUAAAAAUUAUGUGUUAAUCUUCUCCCCAAUUUGUAAACAGUAAAUGUACCAAAAAGAAUCAUGUAUGAUUAAUAUUACUAAGAUUGAAACUAGAAAGAGAGAAACCUCAUUGAUUUAUAAAUUAAUUUAUCUUAAUUCCCUUUAAACAAGGAUCUUGUUUGCAAGCAUUAACCGCCUUGGCGACUUGGUGGGUUCCUCAUGACAUCUCCCCCUUCUUUUUAUAGCUUUUAAAAAUGGAUUAAAAUUCCUUCAUAAUUAGUUGAUCCAACUAAAACCCUCUAUAAUUUUGCACUUUUAGUCUUCAAAUUUCUUUUUUGUUUUAAAAUGUGAAUUGGGGAUUUUGAAGGUUAGGUGAACCUUUUGCCCUAUAAUUAAGUUGGGAUCCAAUGAUGAAGUUUGCUACUUUAAUUAGACACACAAAUAGUUUGGUUCAACACAUUAAUUAGAUAAUAUAUUGCAAUUUUUUAGUACAACCAAAACUACCCAACUACAUUUAUAUAUGGUCCCUACAAAAAUGAAGUUUGAUCCUUAUUGAUGAUUAGUGAAAUGCCUUCAAUUACUCAAAAACAAAAAUUUAAUUGAAUGCUUAAAAUUGUGAUUCUUUUACAAAACCCAAAACAAGAAUGAAAACAUGUCCCAAAAAAUUUAUUUGGAAAGAGAUGAAAAUUAGGUGCUAGUUUAUAGUUGGCAAGUUGUUGGCACUAUUGCAUCAAUAUGGCAUAGAAACUUUAUAGUUGAUGAUAAAUAAUUGUUAGUAUAUGAUUUAAAAAGGGAAUGAGAACAAAAGGAGUUAGUUAUAAGUUUUAUUGUAUGUGUAGAUACAAAUGAGAAAUUAAGAAUGUAGGGAGGGAUCCACCAUGAAUUUUUGGCAUCAAUUAUUAUUUAGUUAUAUGAUAAGGAAAGAAAAAGCACAUGAAUUUGUCUAGGCAAACAAAUAGUUAGGCAAAAUGGGGGUGGGGGAGAAGUGAUAAAGGUUUUAAUGGCUCUUGUAACUUUGGUCAUUUCCAUUUAUAAAGAAGUGUUGAGACAUAGCAUGUGUAUUUAAAUGGGUAAAUGAUAAGUUGUUCUUCCAAUGUCUUUUAUUUAUAUAUAUAUAUAUAAGAGGAAGGGUUGGGAUAAGAACCGAAUCUAGGUAGCAAAGAAGGGUAAAGUUAGAAAAUUUGUGAAUACUAAACAAGUUUUAUAUGAUUUAUUAAUUGUCAGAACUUGAACUCUGAAUCUUAAAUAUCAACACAAAGUUCUAAACCACUAAUUCUUUUGGAUUGUUGGCACAUAAAUAAACGAGCCUUAAAAUCUUAUUAAUGUUCAUUUAUUUAGUCAAGUAAACAAAACAUAAACAAAUAGAAAUCAAACCGCUCAAUUCUUCUUUAAAGAAUAGUUAAUAGUUUAAUUUAAGAAAAAUCAUUCGAUACAUUCUACAAGCAAUAUAUCACAUAAUAACCUAUUAAUUUAAUUAGUUUAUAUAUUAUUAAAAAAAAUGAAACCCAAUAAUGUUCUCUAUAAUAUGUAAAAAUUCAAAAAAAAAAAAACUUAGAAAAGAUAGAUACCUACCUAGAGGAUAAACCUAAUCAAACUCCAUCUUAUGAUCACUAUAGUGUGUAAAAUUUUCAAAUAAAAAACAAGGAUGGCAGAAGAGAUUCAUUGAUGAAAUGAAGAUGGUGAAGGGGGUCCCAUGUGAUUUGGCUAUAUAGCUUGAGAUGGACAAGCUGGAAAUGCCUUAGCUGUAUAAAGAGGUGCAGCCAUGUUCUUGAAAGGAACCAACACUUGGCCUUUGUAGACCCUCACUUGUCCCAUGGGUUUCCAAUGCAUAUGGUCCCCAAGCUUAUGGGAGCAAUGAAAAGAGGAGAAGAAAAAAAACAUACAUUUGAAAACUGCCAAACUGGGUUAACUAAUAUAUCAUGUUUAACGUCAUCAUUCUUUCUAGAAAAUCUUG
rnacentral:lncRNA from 1 species